GGUAAUGUGCCAGGUGGGCUAGUAAGAUGGGUAAGUCAGGGCUCUUCAGAGAAGUGAUUUUCAUUAUUAACUAAUAGUUUCAUGCUUACCCCACUGCUUUGUAAUACAUACAGUGACAUACCUAUAGAACAGGUAGACAAAUCAGCAGCCAUUCUUCUACAGGAAAAUUAAAUUAGGUCAUUUAUCAACUGCUGGGUGAUUUCAGAUAGUUACUUAUCUCAAAAUGAAGCCUCCACUGCGUGUGUCAAAUCUGUAGCUCAGCCCCUAAAGUUCCCUCAAGUUUGGGAGCAUAAUUAGUCAGUUUUGUUUCUCCUGUCUUCCUGAUAUGCUAUUUUAAUUUUCAGAAAUUUCCAACAAACCGAGAAAAUGGCCUUUAGUCAGGACUCAUAGCUGCCCAUUAUUUACUAUAUAUUAAGUGCUCCAGGAAGGACCUCUCAAAAAGGAAUCACUGACUACCACCACCCCAGUCCUCAUCAAAGAUCAAGAGAUAAUAUGUUCAUUAAAGGCAUCACUGCAACCCAGGUCAAAUGUAUGCUAUAUGUCACCAGGAAUACUGAGGUAACCUUUGAAAUGUGUUCUUUGCCACUCUGCCUCCCAAAUCCUUGCCCAGACUUGUAGCUGUUCAUAUAUGUUUU